AAGUCGUAACAAGGUUUCCGUAGGUGAACCUGCGGAAGGAUCAUUACCAAAAAAUGACUCCUGUAGACUUGAGCGGAAGCCUCGAUCCACCGAGAUCGAUUAGGGCCGAGUUCGUCUGCAGAUAAAGAGUUACCAACUCCAUUGUCAACCGUAUAUCGUCUCUGGUAGCCUAGUCCACUGUCGGCAAGUUUUGCCCUGGCAGCUUUCUGGGCGUCCCAUCGUGCUUCUUUCCGGAGGCGCUUUGGGGGGCUACCAUCGGCCGAGCGUAGAGCACGGUUUCGUGCGACGCGCCUUGUUUUCGGCCGAGAAAAAACAAAAAACCCCAUUAUGAUCAUGUUCCGACUGAUUUUAUUUGACUUGCUUUUCUCGAAAAGCAAGGAAACAAAAUAAAAUAACAACUUUUGGCAACGGAUCUCUUGGCUCUC
rnacentral:misc_RNA from 1 species